AGCUAAGUAGUCUAAAUAUAUUGAUUUAGGGCGGAUGCCUUGAAAGCAUCAGGUAGUGACUAACUUUCACUUUUAGCUU
rnacentral:tRNA from 1 species